GGACGUUCCGGGAGGAGUGAGGGCUGCAGUGGGUGGGGCAGCGGCGGUGGGCGGGGCCACCGAAUCCCGGGCCGGUAGGGGCGGAGCGCAGACGGCCCCAGAGCGCCGCAAGUCCCGGAGGCGGAGGCUGGUGCGCCGAUCUCUCCCGGGCGGGUUCCUGCUGUCCUCGCCGCCCUCGGACCGUACCGAGCGACAUGGCCCAGCAGCCGCCCGACGUCGGAGAGGACGACUGUCUUCCUGAGUACCGCCACCUCUUCUGCCCCGACCUGCUCCGGGGCAAAGUCGCCUUCAUCACAGGUGGUGGGUCUGGGAUCGGGUUCCGGAUUGCUGAGAUUUUCAUGCGGCAUGGCUGCCACACGGUCAUCGCCAGCAGAAGCCUUCCGAGAGUGUCGACGGCUGCCAGAAAGCUGGCUGCUGCCACCAGCCAGCGGUGCCUCCCUUUGUCUCUGGACGUCCGAGAUCCCCCAGCCAUCACGGCCGCCGUGGACCAGGCAUUGAAGGAGUUUGGGAAAAUCGACAUUCUCAUUAACUGUGCAGCUGGAAACUUCCUGUGCCCUGCCAGCGCACUGUCCUCCAACGCCUUCAGGACUGUGAUGGACAUUGACACCUUGGGCACCUUCAACGUGUCUCGCGUGCUCUACGAGAAGUUUUUCCGGGACCAUGGAGGGGUGAUUGUGAACAUCACCGCAACACUGGGUACCCGGGGGCAGGUGCUCCAAGUGCAUGCAGGCUCUGCCAAGGCAGCUGUGGGUACGGGUGCCCCCUCUGGUCUGCCAACCUGGGUGCCCGUUGGGUCCCUCUCCAUCCCUGGAGGCCGGCAGUGUCUGACUGAAGCUGAGCCCAGUGGUGGGCAGUGGAGAAGCCGGGCCCUGGCCCUGAGCCCCACUUCACACCUAGGCCACCCCAGAAGGCACAGCAGCACUGCAUUCUUCCUCUUGCCUGCCUGCCUUCCAUGCAGAUGCGAUGACGCGGCACUUGGCUGUGGAGUGGGGUCCCCAGAACAUCCGUGUCAACAGCCUUGCCCCCGGCCCCAUCAGUGGCACGGAGGGGUUCCGGCGGCUGGGUGGCCCCCAGGCCAGCAUGAGCAAGAACGUCCUGGCCAGCCCCCUGCAGAGGCUGGGGGACAAGACGGAGGUCGCCCACAGUGUGCUCUACCUGGCCAGCCCUUUGGCAUCCUAUGUGACCGGGGCCUUGCUGGUGGUUGACGGUGGGGCGUGGCUGACGUUCCCUAAUGACAUCAGGCUGCUGGCGGAUUUUGCAUCCUCUGCUAAGCUCUAGGCGCUGGAUGGCUGAAGCAAAGCAGGUUCUGAAGGGGAAGCUGGUCUGCAGCUCACUCUUGGGUUCUUGGGACGCUGUGAUGAGAAAACAGCCAUUCUGAGUUGCUGCCUUGGCAUUUCACAGUAUGACAACCUGCUCACACGAGUCUGGACAUUGAGAUAAGGACCUGAGCUUAGGAUUCCCCCCGUAAAUUCCCGCUUUGCCUUCCCUGGGGCACCUUUUAAAAUAACCGUUUAGAAUUAUGCCCGUGAAAAGUUAGUGACCUCCACCUCAACCACCUUAUAAGUGACAGGUGCUUGCUGCUCUGCUCUCUAUCUCCUGCUCCCUUGUGACCUAGGAUGGAGGACUGCCCUUCCCCAGCUCAUUGCACCCCACGCCCCCAUUCUGGGAUCUGUAAGUAAUAAAUCCUGUAACUUGACUUCCUUUAUGUGAGUAUUGAAAUUGUGCCUUCAAUCAAAAUGACCCCAUGGGUUACAGGUCCCCAAAGUGGGAGCUCGGAUGCUGAGGGAGCUCCCUGCCGACCCCUCGUGGGUGGCAUGUGCCCCCUCAUCCCGCAGGUCAUGAUCUGCAUAGUCUUAAUUCAAUACAUCAGCUCUGGCUUCUCCACACAGAUGCCUCCUGCAGGGCUCUCCCGGGACCUCCGCCCAGCUUCCUAGCUGAGAGACAGUCUCAGCAGAGCGUCUGAAGCAGAGACUGGCCCUUCCUCUGGGAACUGUGCUGUGUCCACACUCCCUCCCCAUGGCCCCAUCUCCUGUGCAUGGGCCAGACUGACCAAGCAGCAAGGCCGGCUUGCUGCCCACACCACAUGGGUGUCCACAGAGGGAGGGCAGCAUUUCCAAGCUCCUUCGAGAGUGGAGAUACAGCCAAGCUGCUGGGGUGUCCCCCACGACCCAGGGUCAGGAGCUGGCCUCCCUUUUCCUCCUGCCUAUGCCCAGUGGGUGCUGACGUGGCUGCCUGGGUGGGGAGAAGGGGGCAUUUCAAGCUCCAUCUUUCCUUGUUGCUCUCCCACUUCAAGACCUUUGCUAGCAAAGGGAAGUCAAACCAGGGGGCCAGAGAAGCAUGUCUGAGCCCCCCCCACCCCCGGCCUGGUGUCCUGGGUUCCCUCACCAGGGUGUGUGGGCUGCAGACAGGAUCCCCAUUGGCCUUUGGUGACAUGGGCUAGGGCUACUCCCAUCUGCGCUGGAGUCUGUCCUUUGCUGGAACAUCCCAGCGAAGUUAGUGCUCCGUCAUUCAGGGGCUGUCGUUUUAGGCCCCCCAGGUGACCCAUCCCCGUCAUUACCAGCACCCUCCCUCAGGCCCAGGGAGAUGGGGAAAUUCUGGCCCCUCAUUUGUUCCUUGGAUGACUGCUUCCUGACAUUCAGGCCACUUGGCCCCGGGGGCUUGUUUUCUGUGCUGUUUGUGUCAAGGUGCGUGGUUCCCCACUCCUUGUCUGUACUGCCCAUUUGCAUAAGCACAGGUCAUAGAGUUUUGCCAGAAAGGGCAUUUCCUUGAAAAAUAAUCUUUUUACUAUAAAAACAUCUAUCUGUUAGACUUUGCAAAAGUUUUUAGAAGGAAAAGGAAGACACUUGAAAAGAAUCACUGGUGACUGGGUCAGUUAGAGGAAAGGGGCGUUUCCUUCCUGUCUUUUUUCUGUGAAGAGCUUAGAAAACUCUUCUUCCUAAUGCUUGAAGCCUCCGUCCUCAGGCAGGUGGAGCCCACCCCGAGGCCAGGAGAGGCUGUCUGCUCUCCUGGUGGGAGGGGACAUGCUCAGACUGGUCCCCAAGAGAGCUGCCGUACCCCGCAAGGUCCUGGUUUGCUCCCAGUCAGUUCCCGCCACCGUAAGAGCGUGUGCUUAAGCCCUCUGCCCCAGACACCCACGCUCACUUGUCCCUUCACUUUAUGAAAAGAGAUGGCCCCUUCUUGCCUUCGUAGGUGCAGCGGAGUGGCAGGGAGGUCCCCGGACCAUCCCAGCUGGGAGGCCACCUGGCAUAGGGAGCAGCAGUUGCUAUUUCAAGGUGCUCCUUAUUGUCACGGAGACCAGAAUGUGGUGGCAUCAAGUCCACAGCAGGGCGUGUAAAUGGGUCCUUGUGGUGCUGCUGGGGAAAAACAAAACAUUGAAAGCAGUUAUUGGGGAGUUGCAGCCAGUGAGGGGCUGGGGCAGUCGUGAGACCCCCACAAGGCCAGAGAGCUGGGGCAGCUGUCCUCCCCUGGGGAGGCCCUGGGGGGUGGCCCGAGGAGGGAGGGUGUCCUGCCAGCUUGGAUGAGCAGGCCCUGCUGCCUUUGAAGGCCAGGAUGCACAGUAGAGGUGUGAACAUCGUCCAGCAGGGGGUCUGGUUAAGAAAAAGGCCACCUGCUGGGACUCAGUAGUGGCUCAGCUCCAGGAAGACGGAAGAGUCUGGAAAGCAGUUUCCAGGAGCAAGCCUUUUAUUACUGUAUUAGGGUUCUCUAGAGAGACAGAACCAAUAGGAAAUUCAUUAUAUGGAUUGGCUCAUGCAACUGUGCAAGCCACGCAGGUCACUCCUGAAACGUCGCUAUGAUGUAACACUAUGACGUGUGCCUUCGUCUUUGUAAACACAGAAAGCAAAGCAAACCUUAAAACUGCCUUCAAUAAGCAGUGCUAAUUUGGGGAAGUUUCUCUCUGCUGACUCCUCUGUUGCCAUGGUAACCUGGUAAAAUUCUACUGUGGCUUGAGGGUGCGAGCUUUGUCCUGCGGGUCACUUCAGAAAGGCCUGGAGGUCAGGCCCCGGCACUAACGCCCAUUUCCCAAAGCGGACUUGUGCCGUGUUCUUGGCCCCAGGUUGGUUUGCUCUCCCGUGAGCGUCCCCAGUUGUCAGAGUUGUUCACCUCAUCCCCAUCCGUCUUCCUCUCCCCUCUCCUUCCUGGCCAUGCACUGUGGUCCCUGCUGGGCUGGGCCACCCCAGUGGACACUGUCCACCCACCAAGUGCACUCUGAGCACCUGCUGUGCCCAGCACCCGGCUGGGGACCCAGACAUGAGUGCCACUGGCUCUCCUGACCCUCCCGUCUCCUCUCAGCCUUGCGUCUGCACAUGGCUCGCUGGGAGAGCGAGGUGAUGGAUCCCUGAGGACCUCAGCAGUCAGAGGCUCAGCAGGGGCUCCCCUCUUCUCUGACCCUCACACCCUUUUGUCCUUAUCCCAUGGGGCAGACCGAGCCUGCCUCUCAGUGGUCAAGCCCCUGCCCUGGGCUGCAUGUCCAGGCCUGUCCCUGGCUCUGCACAGAGGCCUGAUGGUGCUGCAGUUGGGCAGUGUCAUCCCCUUGAGCAGGGCAGGUGGGUUCUCGGGGGUCACGGCUUCCCAGGCUGGGAAGGGGGUGGGCAUGAGCCCCCUCGCGCAUUUCCCUUGGGGCACUCAGGCCCAUCUCUGUUGGAUGCAUGGACAGAAAGCUACUCUGGCUGUUCAGAUUCAAAGAGAGGACAUGAAAGGGGAAGCUCCUGGGCUCCUCCACAGGCUCCUUCCAGGGGGAGGAUGCACUGGAGCUCCAGGACGAAGCCGGGACCCAGGGCUCAUCUCCCUUCCUUCUCUCACCUCCACCUGGCCCCGUGAACCUGCACCUUCCCCUCGCCACAGAUCAGCUUUCUCUGCACCCAGGUCCCAGCCACUGUGCGUACAAGCAGUAGCCGAGCCUCCUGGAGAGAGAGACAGUAGUCCUCUGUCAGACUCACGUCCAAAUUCCUGAGGAAAGAUGCACAUUCGUCUGUUUGGGUCAGGUGCCCGACUCUUGUUCAGUAAACCAUGGCCAAGGGUUGAUUGCAUCAUAUAAACAUGGCAACUCGCACUGCAGUCAUGGGCUUGGAGAGGGACUGCUUCUAGAAAUGCGUGUUAGCAGACCAUCCCAUGCAGGUCCUCACUCACAUCAGACAAAUUCACAAAAGACCAAUGUAUAGCCCAGCAUGCUGAUUGUGUGUGCGUGUGCGUACACUCCCCUCCAGGGAUGGGAUGAGUCUCGGGUCUCCCUCUCUGGUGAAACCCAAGGCCAGUUGGGAGAUGGCAGAGGCUGCCCAAGUCUGACGAGCCACCCACACUGCCGGCUUGUAUCCCGGGGCCUAGACUCCGCCCAGCUCAGCCCUUCUGUGCUAGGGACCAUGGCGGAGACUGGAUCCAUCUCUGGACUUCCUGUUUUCUCGCCCGGGCCCUUCAGUGAAACAGCCCCCCACACACAGGGAACCACCGGAUGUCCUAUUCACCCCUGGAUCCCGGCUCAGUUCUCUGGGAUGAGAUCCCCGCAUCACCUUGUUGACAGGUAGAGGCCUUAGUAACACUUUAGUCAUUUAUUUACUGAGUAUCUUUUGUGUUAUUU